AUGCACGACUUCGAUGCAAACAACCUUCGCCGUGCUGGAGGGACAUCCGCAGCUUGUUUUGUACGUCCCUCACGAGUACGAGAACCACCACCAUGAGAUGAUUCGCCAGCUAUUCCUUUGCCUUUGUCAAGUCGAGCAAUAGGUUCUUCAGUUUCUUCCGGGGAGCUCGCCUGAUAAUCCGGAUCAGACCCGGACGCUUCUUCAGUUGUGCGUGUCCUUUUAGAAACCCC
rnacentral:lncRNA from 1 species